UAUUUAUUUCCACAUAGUCUUAUUUUAUUUCUAUCUUCAAGUGGUUACUUUAGAGGGGAGCUUGAGACCCUUGAGAACAAGGGACUCAAGGGACUGAGAGGCUGGAGUGGAAAAAUGUCUGUCAGGUGUGGACAGAGAGAUGGGGGAGGUAGUGGCUUGAAACGGGAGGUAGAGGAUUGAAAAGGGAUAUAUCAAGGAUUCAAAAAGAAAAAAAAACUGAAGGGAAAAUCCAAGAAGUCAAAAAAGAAGAAGAGAAAGCAGAAAUAAAUGGAAAGAAGAGGUCCUAGAGGAGCCAGUAUGGGGAGAUCUUAAGUUUCUCAAAGAGGCCAAUGAAUUUUUACAUUAUUAUUGGCAAAAAACAUUCCAAGAAAAAAAAAUAGUAAACAAAUAAGAAAAGGCAGAGCAUAUAGUUAGCAGGGGUUUGAAA
rnacentral:lncRNA from 1 species